rnacentral:rRNA from 3 species
GGACUACUGGGGUAUCUAAUCCCGUUUGCUCCCCUGGCUUUCGCGCCUCAGCGUCAGAAAGGGUCCAGCACCUCGCCUUCGCCACCGGAGUUCCGGUCGAUAUCAACGCAUUUCACCGCUCCACCGACCGUUCCAGAUGCCCCUACCCUCCUCAAGAUUCGCAGUAUCCACGGCACUUCUCCAGUUAAGCUGGAGGCUUUCACCACAGACUUGCGAACCCGCCUACGCGCCCUUUAAGCCCAGUGAUUCCGAACAACGUUCGCACGGUUCGUCUUACCGCGGCGGCUGGCAC